GACGAACCGUCCUAACGUUGUUCGGAAUCACUGGGCUUAAAGGGCGCGUAGGCGGGCAUGCCAGUCCGGGGUGAAAUCUUUCGGCUUAACCGGAAAAGGGCCUUGGAUACUGCAUGUCUCGAGGGAGGUAGGGGUCUGUGGAACUGCGGGUGGAGCGGUGAAAUGCGUUGAUAUCCGCAGGAACGCCGGUGGCGAAAGCGAGGUCCUGGAUGCCUACUGACGCUGAGACGCGAAAGCCAGGGGAGCGAACGGG
rnacentral:rRNA from 1 species